CAGUCGCCACGGUAAUACGGAGGGUGCAAGCGUUAAUCGGAAUUACUGGGCGUAGAGCGCACGCAGGCGGUUUGUUAAGUCAGAUGUGAAAUCCCCGAGCUUAACUUGGGAACUGCAUUUGAAACUGGCAAGCUAGAGUCUUGUAGAGGGGGGUAGAAGUCCAGGUGUAGCGGUGAAAUGCGUAGAGAUCUGGAGGAAUACCGGUGGCGAAGGCGGCCCCCUGGACAAAGACUGACGCUCAGGUGCGAAAGCGUGGGGAGCAAACAGGAUUAGAUACCCGCGUAGUCCCUGUCUCUUAUAC
rnacentral:rRNA from 1 species